rnacentral:tRNA from 1 species
UUAGGUGAAGCCAAAAAGAGGCAUAUUAUUGUUAAUAAUGUAAUUGGAUUUUAUCCCAACUAAA